rnacentral:rRNA from 1 species
GAUGAACGCUGGCGGCGUGCCUAAUACAUGCAAGUCGAGCGAACAGACGAGGAGCUUACUCCUCUGACGUUAGCGGCGGACGGGUGAGUAACACGUGGAUAACCUACCUAUAAGACUGGGAUAACUUCGGGAAACCGGAGCUAAUACCGGAUAACAUGUUGAACCGCAUGGUUCAAUAGUGAAAGACGGUUUUGCUGUCACUUAUAGAUGGAUCCGCGCCGCAUUAGCUAGUUGGUAAGGUAACGGCUUACCAAGGCAACGAUGCGUAGCCGACCUGAGAGGGUGAUCGGCCACACUGGAACUGAGACACGGUCCAGACUCCUACGGGAGGCAGCAGUAGGGAAUCUUCCGCAAUGGGCGAAAGCCUGACGGAGCAACGCCGCGUGAGUGAUGAAGGUCUUCGGAUCGUAAAACUCUGUUAUUAGGGAAGAACAAAUGUGUAAGUAACUAUGCACGUCUUGACGGUACCUAAUCAGAAAGCCACGGCUAACUACGUG